GUUACUUUGGCAGAUAAGUGUAAUAAAUUUAGAAUUUAUAUAUGUAAUUAUAUUACAGGUAAUA
rnacentral:tRNA from 1 species